GGUUCCGUAGCUCAGCCGGUUAGAGCGUGUGGCUGUUAACCACAAGGUCGCUGGUUCGAUCCCAGCCGGUACCGCAA
rnacentral:tRNA from 1 species